rnacentral:miRNA from 1 species
CCACCAGCUCUCUCUUGGCAC